UACGUAGGGUGCAAGCGUUGUCCGGAAUUAUUGGGCGUAAAGAGCUCGUAGGCGGUUUGUCGCGUCGAAUGUGAAAACCCGGGGCUCAACCCCGGGCCUGCAUUCGAUACGGGCAGACUAGAGUUCGGUAGGGGGAGUCUGGAAUUCCUGGUGUAGCGGUGAAAUGCGCAGAUAUCAGGAGGAACACCGGUGGCGAAGGCGGGACUCUGGGCCGAUACUGACGCUGAGGAGCGAAAGCGUGGGGGAGCAAACAGG
rnacentral:rRNA from 1 species